GUGGUGAUAGAUGACUAAUCCAUCUGAGUAAUAAAUAAGUGUUCAUUGUAAGUUAUCAAGAUGAGCAUAGAAGAUUUCUUAUGAUAAACAAAGUUUCGAUUAUGACCAUGGAAGAAACAUGUAAGCUUGCAGUGAUUGGGCGUCCAUGUAAAAUGUGCUCUAAUCAAGUGGCCUUCUUCAAAAGGAAGUGGAAUAUGAAGAAAGGAUAGAUUGUUCAGACUUUGCCUGUGGAGGAAGGGAGAUUCCUAGGUGCUCAACACUUGAUGCUCAUUGCUCUGUUUAAGAAGAAUAAGAAACUUAGAGAUACAAGUAUGCCCAAAUAGGUUGCACAUCCUAUUGGACAUCCUGUUGGAGUAGCAAUGUCAAAGAAGAUGUACGUUAUACAAAUAGUUGAAGAGAAGUAUCUAAAUCUGGAAAGUACUAGUGUGUCUACAACCUCAGAAUUCCUCACUAAAGAAAAUGCGAAUCUCAAGUCCUACCUCAUCAAAUUUAGAGUCUCACAUCUCUUUAAUAGCUUUGUGUUGCACAUUGUCCAGGUUCAAGUUUCCUUUGAGGAAACAAUUUCAAGAAUACACUUGCAAGGGUAUUAAAAUCCCUUAUCUUUGUGGAGCCUCCAAAUAUUCACCUCUCUAAAAACUCAGUUCAUUCAUUUUAUAUUGUAUAUUGUUAAAUGCAAUUUCCUUUUGACAGGAUUUCUUGCUACAACUCUCUUUGAUCUUUCAAUGAAAAUAAUGUCAAAUCUGGAAUCCUAGCCCCCUCCCUUGGUCUUCAAAACUUCAUUUCUUUAACUUGUAGAGAUUGAGGGAUGCCUUGUUCUAGUCCUCCUUGUCAAGUGAAAGGAUGUCUUCUAUGUUUUAUCAAACUUUGAAAUCAAAGAUGUUUCAAGGAGAAUGAUAGAGAUUGACCCUAGAUUGCCCGCUUCCCCUAAAAUGAGGAUACGUCAUAAACUCAUUUUUGAACCAUAAUAAAUUCAAAUUGCAAAAAUGGGUGUAGAGCCAAUUCAACCCUAUCCUAUCCUUACAUUCAUUAAGUGGCUCAACAAUUUAUGGAAGUCUCCAUGGAGUUAUGUUGAAAGUUUGACUAGGAAGCAAGUUUUGAGUACAAUAGUUACAAACUUAUAGGUGAGUAUUUUGUUUCUUAUCGAUCUCUCCCAUGGUCAAUGUAAGCAUCUUAAGUUCUACCUGUAAUGAAAUCUUCGUAAUUUUCUUUAGGUGCUCUUUGAGCAGUCUUAGUUAGAGAUUUGACAAGCAAGCAUGGGACGUAAAAUGACAAGGGAGGGUGUUAUUUGACGAUAGUUUCAAAUUGGCAUGGAUGCCUUCAUUUCAAUUAAGCAUCUUUUGUGAUACCCUUCUAACCGGAUUUAAAUACAAUUUUCUAAUUCAAUAUAUAAUGCACAAAUUUUACCUUAAUAAGUACACUUUAUGUUAAAAUAUCAAUCUUCUGUAAUCAAGGAAAUGACAAAUUUUCCUUUUAGAAUGAAUGAUGAAAAUUUUCUUUACCGUAUAGUUAUUUAUGAUCUCAAGUCAUUCCUUUAAGGUUUUCAAAUUUUCAAAAGGAAGGAUUCAAUUUGCUAUAUGUUUAAUGCUCUUAUUCUGUUGACAAAAUGAGAUUUGGAUUUCACAUUGGAGACUACAAGUUUGGCCUAAAUGCAAGUAACACCUCUUUAUUUAUUUCACACAUGAUUAAAAAACUAAGUAGCAAGUGCAUAACUUCCAUUUAUUUAUUGUACAGUUUCUACAACACACCAUGUUCUUAUGUCUCUUGGAAAGUUAAGAACCUUGUUUAAAAUAUAGUGUGCUUUCCAUGCAAAGAAGUCUCGUGCUUCGUGAUUGUGGUGGCUUGAAUAGAAACUUGCAUCUAUUUUGAUACGUGGAGAACUCAAGACAACAUCUGGUUUUUAGUGCCUUUCAAAUUAGUGGAUUUCAUAUUAAUUUCUCAAUCAAUAUGCAAUGUGUUUUUCAUGGAACAUUGCUAAAAAAAUUUGUAAUUUUUUUUUUUUGUUUAUAAAUCAUUACUAAAUUUUGAUUGCAAAUAAUUGUCAAGAUUCAUUAGCAAGAAUUUUAUCCAACAUACAAGCUUUUAGGUGAGUGAUAUACACUGAAAUUUUUUCUAUUUUGUUUGGUUUGAAAUGCUCUUCAAUUUUAAACCAACAUACUGUUAUUUGUUUGCAACAUGUUAUAUUUGUAGAAAAUUAUCUUAUCUAGAUUUAUACUAUGGAUUUGAAUAAUGUUUGAGGUGAAGGAGUCUUUUGGCAUGUCUUGCUUUCUUGAGUUGUGCAAGUCAAAGGCUCGAAGAGCACAAACUCUUAUGACUAGAGGAAAGACAAUUGAAUUCUCAUUCUAUGGUGAGCUAUGAGGAUUCUGUUGUGAGUUGUAUGGUAUUAUUUGAAUUGCAAAUAGCCUUAUUUGGCUUUCAAAUACUUAAUGCAAUUGUGCAUGGUCACGAAUCGAACUCAUACUUGACAAAUUUGUGAGUUGUAUGGUAUGCUUUCUUAUUUUCUUUUUAUUUUAUGCAUGGGUGAAAAAAAAACAUUCUUGGUAACCUGAGGAACAUUUGGUUAUUGCAAUACCUAAUGUUUUUUGGAAGCUGAUUACAAUAUUCAUGGGUGAAAAAAUCUUUGUUUUUAUAAUUUAUUUUUUGAAAGCAGAUUCAUGGCCUUUAUCAAUUCCUUGCAUAUUCCUAAUAUUAUAAAGCUUACUUGUUUUCCAAAAUUGCUUAUCGUAUGAUAGAAGUGAAUGCAUUAAAGAUUGUUAAUUGAAAGAAAUAAUUUGUUUGUAGCUAGAGAUUGGAGAUGACAUUACAACAUGAUCUCAUGUCCUUGGUAAUUUGUAGAUUGAGGGUUUUCAAAAGGCUUUACCCCAAUACCAGUAAAAGAACUACCACGGAAGCAACUAACAUUAGUACCUUGUAUCUCAAGUUUCAUAGAGAGUUAAUCAUUGAAUUGGUGCCCAGUCUUUUUUCCAAGAUAGGUGUGUUAUCCAUGCCGAGGGGAUGCCCUAUUUAAAUUAUAGGGCUUUGGAUUCCUUAAUGAUUGGAAUGAACUCCGGAAUUCUUGCAUAUUUCUAAAUGUCAUGUCACAUCUUUCCAACAAGGAAAAUUCCUUCAAUGCUCUAAAUUGUGGAGAUCACGAGUUGCUAAAAUUUAUGGUCUGCAUUAGAGAAGGAUUGUUUGAUGCUCUCACUACUGGCUACAUCUCUUGUCCUUGCAACUACAUAUCUUUUAAUCCCCUUUAGUGAGAAAAGAAUAAAGAACAUAAACAAGUUGUUCAUGAUGACUCACAUUCCUAAUUUUCUAGUUGAUGGUGUACCUUCUUGAGAUUGAAGAAGGAGAAAUGUCAAAGACAUCCCUUAUCUGAGGGAGGCCUUCACAGACUCACCACUCUCAAACAACUCAAGAUUGAUAGUAUAUUUAAGAUUUGUUUCUUCUCAUAUGACUAAGGCUUGCCCUUUCUUCCAAUGAAUCACUCAUGUAUAUUUCCAUGUAAAGAUUCCAGAAUCCAUGAAUUUCCUAUAUCACCAAAACCUCACCUAAGCUCUAGUUGUAUUUAAUAGAUGGAGAAAUCCAACUUUGAUCCAUAAUAAUUUGGAUUCCAAAAAUGGAAGCAAAGAGGGUUCACCCUAUCCUAUCCAUAUAUUUAGUAAGUUUCAUCUAUUCCCAACACAUAAUUCUUACAUUUUAUCUUCUUGUUACAAGUAUAAAUUAUCAUACUGUUAAAAUUUUCUACAAGUUCAACUACUAGAGAACCCCUACACUCAACCUUUUUGUUGAAAACUUGACUAGGAAGCAGCAUCUAACAACAAUUACAAGCUUUAUGGCUUCACAUUUUCUAUUCAUAGUAUGUUCCUCUUGUUGGUCAUCCCAUAGUCCCAUGUAAGCAUUAGUAUUUUUAUUUCUCCCAAUUUAAAUUUUAACACAAUAAUUUAACUGAGUGAAUUCAUUUAUGUUAACAAGAAGUUCUGCUUGGUGUAUUCUUGUUGCAGGAUUCUUUUUGUGAAAGGUUGUCUAACUUCCUAUUCACCAUGUUUUCUACUUCAUUUAGGUGUAGUGACAUGUCAAUUGGAUAUCUGGAAGUUAUAUGAUGUAAUGAAUUAGAAGCUACCAAGAGGGUGCACUACUUUAAGCCUCUUCGAGAGAUAAUAAUUGAUGGUUGUAUGCCCAAGACACCUUUUUCCUAGGGAUAGGUUUUUCAUUCAAUGUAAGAAGGUUGACAGUUCAAAAUUGUAUAUAGGGCUUUGGGGUUGUUACUGAUUGGAAUGAUUCACAAUUCAAGCAACAACAAGUCUCUGGAAUUCUUUCAAAUUUCUAAAUGUCCUCUCACGUGUUUCCAAGAGGCCAGCUUCCUACAAUCCUAAUGAAGGUGGAGAUCCUGAGUUGCUAAAAUUUAGGGUGUAGAGUAGAUGAAUGUUGUCGAAUGCAAAAGAAGAAUACUACUUCUCUUGAAUAAUGGUAUGUCACUUGUCUCUAUCUUUCACAUCAUUGCCAAUUGAUACCUUACCUGAUCCUGAAACACCUUGGUAUUUAUGAUUGGAAUGAUUCACAAUUCAAGCAACAACAAGUCUCUAGAAUUCUUUCAGAUUUCUAAAUGUCCUCUCAUGUGUUUCCAAAAGGCCAGCAUCCUGCAAUCCUAAUGAAGGUGGAGAUUCUGAGUUGCUAAAAUUUGGGGUGUAGAGUAGAUGAAUGUUGUUGAAUGCAAAAGAAGAAUACUACUUCUCUUGAAUGCUGGUAUGUUGCUUGUCUCUAUCUCUCAUAUCAUAGCUAAGAAAUGUCUUACUUGAUCUUGAAACACCUUGGUAUUUAUGAUUGGAAUGAUUCACAAUUCAAGCAAUAGCAAGUCUCUGGAAUUCUUUUAGAUUUCUAAAUGUCCUCUCAUGUGUUUCCAAAAGGUCAGCUUCGUGCAAUCCUAAUGAAAGUGGAGAUCCUAAGUUGCUAAAAUUUGGGGUUUAGAGUAGAUGAUUGUUGUCAAAUGCAAAAGAAGAAUACUAUUUCUCUUGAAUAUUGGUAUGUUUCUUGUCUUUAUCUCUCACAUCAAUAUCAAGAGAUGUCUUACCUGAUCUUAGAAUACUUUGGUAUUUAUGAUUGGAAUGAUUCACAAUUCAAGCAACAGAAAGUCUUUGGAAUUCUUUUAG